rnacentral:sRNA from 1 species
CCAGACUAGUUAGAUUAGUUUAUGAGUUGGUGUAUUAAUGUUAGUUAAUGCCUAAACAGCCGAUAAGGCAAAUUAUUAAUUAUUGUUAGGAUGUCUAGUAAAUGAAUAAAAAAACAGGCCAAGUAAAAUGGUUCAACGAAAGUAAAGGUUUCGGUUUUAUCACUCCAGCCGAUGGCAGCAAAGAUGUAUUCGUACAUUUCUCUGCAAUCUCAGGUGAUGGCUUUAAAACCUUAGCUGAAGGACAACAAGUCGAAUUUGCUAUCCAAGAUAGCCCUCGUGGACCAGCAGCGGCUGAAGUAGUUGUUAUCUAAUUAAAGUUUAAUUAAAUAAUAAAAGCAAAACGCCUAUUUCUCGAAAUAGGCGUUUUUUU